UCAAGUGGUGAAUAUCCGAAGAGCGAAAGAUUAUAAGCGUGUAAUGCGCGAGAAAAGUGAAUGUGGUAGAAGAGAUAUUUAGAAAUAAUAUGAUUUGGAGAAAUCUGAUAAAUGAAUAGGUGUAUGUGGGCGAUCUCUUCUGGAAAAUGUGCCUAAAGGAAUGUAGGAUGAAGUCGGUUGUCUGUCGGAAUUCUCUUUAUUGAUGUCAGCACUAAAUGUGAUCGAUCAAGUAAUUUCACCCUCUACUUCACUGAAGAAUGCAGAAUAAAGCUUAAGUAAUCUCAUCAUUAACUUUACAUAAUUUUGCUUCCUAAAGGAAAGGAUAUAACAGACUAAGACCUGGGCUACUUCUAUUCUUGGAUCAUCCAGGCAUUGCAUACUAACUACACUACCUCUUGGUUGUUUAAAGUACCAAAUUGCUAUGCUUACUCUUUCUCUAUAAGCCGAUAAUACUUGGCAAGUUUUUACUCUCUUUCAUCGCCCUGAUUAAGAAGUUGCUUCUCUUAAACUGAAAGUAAUCGAAGUCCAGUGGAUGAAGUUUUCCUUAUUUAUAAAUAUUGAUCAAAC